GACGGGGGAUGCAAGUGUUAUCCGGAAUCACUGGGCGUAAAGCGUCUGUAGGUGGUUUAAAAAGUCCACUGUUAAAGAUUGAAGCUUAACUUCAAAAAUGCCGUGGAAACUUUUAAACUUGAGUAUGAUAGGGGUAGAGGGAAUUUCCAGUGGAGCGGUGAAAUGCGUAGAUAUUGGAAAGACCACCAAUGGCGAAGGCACUCUACUGGGCCAUUACUGACACUGAGAGACGAAAGCUAGGGGAGCAAAUGGG
rnacentral:rRNA from 1 species